GGGCGCUCGAGUUGGCGGUUGGUGUUCGCGGCCGGUGCGGGUCUCGCGCUGGCCCUAGAGGCACUGCCGUGGUUGAUGCGUUGGCUGCUGGCUGGGAGACGGCCACGGCGCGAGGUGCUCUUCUUCCCCUCACAGGUGACCUGCACCGAGGCUUUACUGCAGGCCCCAGGCUUGCCCCCCGGGCCCUCCUCGGGCUGCCCGUGCAGUCUCCCACACAGCGAGAGUUCGCUGAGCCGCCUGCUGCGCGCGCUCUUGGCUGCCCGCUCCAGCUUGGAGCUCUGCCUCUUCGCCUUCUCUAGCCCGCAGCUGGGACGUGCAGUGCAACUACUGCACCAGCGCGGGGUGCGCGUGCGGGUCAUCACGGACUGCGACUACAUGGCCCUC
rnacentral:lncRNA from 1 species